rnacentral:rRNA from 1 species
UACAUGCAAGUCGAACGCGCGGAUCAGGAGCUUGCUCCUGUGACGCGAGUGGCGGACGGGUGAGUAACACGUAGGCAACCUGCCCAUCAGACUGGGAUAACCACGGGAAACCGUGGCUAAUACCGGAUAAUCCUUUUCCACACAGGUGGGAAAGUUGAAAGGCGGCCUUUUGGCUGUCACUGAUGGAGGGGCCUGCGGCGCAUUAGCUGGUUGGGGGGGUAACGGCCCACCAGGGCGACGAUGCGUACCCCACCUGAGAGGGUGAUCGGCCACAGUGGGACUGACACACGGCCCACACUCCUAGGGGAGGCAGCAGUGGGGAAUCUUCCGCAGUGGAAAAAAGUCUGACGGAACAACCCCGCGUGAGUGAAAAAGGGUUUCGGCUCGUAAAACUCUGUUGUCGGGAAAAAACGCCGACGGGAGUAACUGCCCGUCGGGUGACGGUACCUGACCAAAAACCCACGGCUAACUACGUGCCAGCACCCGCGGUAAUACGUAUGUGGCAAGCGUUAUCCGGAAUUAUUGGGCGUAAAGCGCGCGUAGGCGGUUCGUUAAGUCUGAUGUGAAAGCCCCCGGCUCAACCGGGGAGGGUCAUUGGAAACUGGCGGACUUGAGUGCAAAAGAAGAGAGUGGAAUUCCGUGUGUAGCGGUGA